GUUGGUGGUGGUAAUGCACCUACAAGCUGGUUUGCCAACCACCAAUAAACUACAAAGAAGCAGAAGAAGAUGAUUACCUCCCCAAGUUUCAUUCUCCCUCUGUCUAAAAAUAAAACCAAAAAGUUGUCUUCACUUCUGAGGAAAAAGGAUAAUGCUGCAAAAAAGGCUGUCAGAUCCAGCAAUGAGGAAGAUAUCCAAGUGGAAGUUAUUAGGAUACCAAACCUGGAAUAAAACAACAACAACAACGAGGAGGACCAAGAACCUGCAUUAAUACUGGCAGAAACCUCAAACAGAACCAGACUCAUGUUGAACAGCCAUCUGCUGCAACCACUGAAAGAGGGAUAGCGGUAGAUGCAGAGAGAAAGAGGUGGAUAGAGACUUACAGUAUUGCAAUUCCCCACCUCUGCAUUCAGGUGCUUCCAAAACUCUUCAAAUCUUCAAGAUGUCCUAAUUUGGUUUGGUCUGAUCAGCCAAGAAUUGUCCCAUGGCUUAAUGGACUUCAUUGAAUUGUGCCCCAGAAGAGGCUGGCAGAUGGAGACCCACUUACUGCUCAUUUUGAACUGAAGGAUUCUGACAAUGAUAGGAAUGGUGGUCCCUCCUAUUAAGGAGAUGAAUUCAUUUUGAUGGCUCAUUUUCAGGCAAUUUGUAUAAUAGAAAAAAGGGUUUUCUAUGUCUGCCAUCUCUCUCUCUCUCUCUCUCUCUCUCUCUCUCUCUCUCACUCCCUCCCUCUCUCUCCCUCUCUCUCUCUUGUGUAAUGUUUGAGUAAAAGAUAGGACAGUGGGGACACAAGGCAACUUUAUACAGGAACAGAGCUUCACCAGACUUUCAUAAACAUCAAACACACUGAUACGCACACACAGAGCACACGUGCCCGUGCUGAUGCACUUAUGAAUAUUGCAUACUGCAGAUCAUCCACUUCACAUUUUCUCAUUGAAACAGGUCUCAGCAAUUCAUUGUUGCCAUAGAAACACAUUUACCU